UACGGGGGGAGCAAGCGUUGUUCGGAUUUACUGGGCGUAAAGCGCGUGUAGGCGGUCCGGUAAGUCCGCUGUGAAAGUCGGGGGCUCAACCCUCGGAUGCCGGUGGAUACUGUCGGGCUUGAGUACGGAAGAGGCGAGUGGAAUUCCGAGUGUAGAGGUGAAAUUCGUAGAUAUUCGGAGGAACACCAGUGGCGAAGGCGGCUCACUGGUCCAUUACUGACGCUGAGGUGCGAAAGCGUGGGGAGCAAACAGG
rnacentral:rRNA from 1 species